UACGUAGGGCGCAAGCGUUAUCCGGAAUUAUUGGGCGUAAAGAGCUCGUAGGCGGUCUGUCGCGUCGGAUGUGAAAAUCCAGGGCUCAACCCUGGACCUGCAUUCGAUACGGGCAGACUAGAGUUCGGUAGGGGAGACUGGAAUUCCUGGUGUAGCGGUGAAAUGCGCAGAUAUCAGGAGGAACACCGGUGGCGAAGGCGGGUCUCUGGGCCGAAACUGACGCUGAGGCGCGAAAGCGUGGGGAGCGAUCCGG
rnacentral:rRNA from 1 species